rnacentral:misc_RNA from 1 species
GAAAAUUAAAAUAAUAUUAUUGAAGUACAUAACUAAAAAUAAAGUAAAAAGUUCUGGGGUCUACGUGAGAAAAUGGAAAUAAACUGAAAACAUAAAGGACCGGCAUCAGCCACUAUUCCACUUUCCAGUGCUCACCUCUGCUAUUUGGAAAAAAUUGUAUCAAAUUUAACUGUGUCAAGAUUUAUUUUAGAACAAAACCCUCAAUUACAUAAGCAAAACUGAAACUUCUAUUCAACGAUUAAACUAACAACUGCCACAGCCUUAAAUAACAUAUGCUCAUUGCUCACCGGUGAUGUUGCAGCGGCACAAAGGACAAGAAUUACUGUGGGAGAGCCAGGAGGAGAUGCACACAGAAUGAUAGACGUGGCCACAUGGGACUCGUUUUCCACCUAUACUUGACUCGAAACCCUCCAUACAAACCAUACAAACAUCAUCUGUAACUACCGUUGGCAUCCCAUCCACCAGAGAAUUUGACGCUGUGAUUCGCUCCUGCGGCAAAGUUGGACGUUCUUCGAAAUCAAAGUUUUCAUUGGCCAUAUAGUUCAGAGCGAGAGAAGAGAGUGCCUCGUCCAGGUCAAAGCUUGCAUUGGCCAUAUUGAGUGGAGAGAGAAGACUAUAACAAUAAGAAACAAUAACUAACUUAUCAGAGCUUUAGGUGAUGCUCUCUUCAAUCUACUUGCUUCUUCCUCCAUUCCAACCUGGCUGUUGACACACUUGAUAAUUUGGGAU